rnacentral:miRNA from 1 species
GUGUAUGUCUGUGUGUGUGUAUGUGUCAGUAUGUCUGUGUGUGUGUGUAUGUCAGUAUGUCUGUCAUAGACACACACAGACAUACUGACAUACACAAACAGACAU